rnacentral:tRNA from 1 species
GCCGCAGUGGCAUAGGGGUAUUGCACUUCCAUGGUAAGGAAGGGGUCGUGAGUUCGAUUCUCACCUGUGGCACCA